rnacentral:rRNA from 1 species
UACGAAGGGGGCUAGCGUUGUUCGGAUUUACUGGGCGUAAAGCGCACGUAGGCGGAUUGUUAAGUCAGGGGUGAAAUCCUGGAGCUCAACUCCAGAACUGCCUUUGAUACUGGCAAUCUUGAGUCCGGAAGAGGUGAGUGGAACUCCUAGUGUAGAGGUGGAAUUCGUAGAUAUUAGGAAGAACACCAGUGGCGAAGGCGGCUCACUGGUCCGGUACUGACGCUGAGGCACGAAAGCGUGGGGAUCAAACAGG